UGCGUAGGUGGCCGAUUAAGUCAGUGGUGAAAGCCUACAGCUCAACUGUAGAGGUGCCAUUGAUACUGGUCGGCUUGAGUAUGGACGAGGUAGGCGGAAUUUGUGGUGUAGCGGUGAAAUGCAUAGAUACCACAAAGAACACCAAUAGCGAAGGCAGCUUACUGAACCAUAACUGACACUGAGGCACGAAAGCGUGGGGAGCGAACAGGAUUAGAUACCCUGGUAGUCC
rnacentral:rRNA from 1 species